GAUGAACGCUGGCGGCGUGCCUAAUACAUGCAAGUCGAGCGAACAGACGAGGUGCUUGCUCCUCUGACGUUAGCGGCGGACGGGUGAGUAACACGUGGAUAACCUACCUAUAAGACUGGGAUAACUUCGGGAAACCGGAGCUAAUACCGGAUAAUAUAUUGAACCGCUUGGUUCAAUAGUGAAAGACGGUUUUGCUGUCACUUAUAGAUGGUUCCGCGCCGCAUUAGCUAGUUGGUAAGGUAACGGCUUACCAAGGCAACGAUGCGUAGCCGACCUGGGAGGGUGAUCGGCCACACUGGCACGGAGACACGGUCCAGACUCCUACAGGAGGCAGCAGUAGGGAAUCUUCCGCAAUGGGCGAAAGCUUGACGUAGCAACGCCGCGUGAGUGAUGAAGGUCUUCGGAUCGUAAAACUCUGUUAUUAGGGAAGAACAAAUGUGUAAGUAACUAUGCACGUCUUGACGGUACCUAAUCAGAAAGCCACGGCUAACUACGUG
rnacentral:rRNA from 1 species